rnacentral:sRNA from 1 species
GGAAAUCGAGACCCUUGUGGAAGAGAAGACCAAGGAGUCACUGGAUGUGAGCAGACUGACCCGGGAAGGUGGCCCCCUGCUGUAUGAAGGCAUCAGUCUCACCAUGAACUCCAAACUCCUGAAUGGUUCCCAGCGGGUGGUGAUGGAUGGCGUAAUCUCUGACCACGAGUGUCAGGAGCUGCAGAGACUGACCAACGUGGCAGCAACCUCAGGAGAUGGCUACCGGGGUCAGACCUCCCCACAUACUCCCAAUGAAAAGUUCUAUGGUGUCACUGUCUUCAAAGCCCUCAAGCUGGGGCAAGAAGGCAAAGUUCCUCUGCAGAGUGCCCACCUGUACUACAACGUGACGGAGAAGGUGCGGCGCAUCAUGGAGUCCUACUUCCGCCUGGAUACGCCCCUCUACUUUUCCUACUCUCAUCUGGUGUGCCGCACUGCCAUCGAAGGUGGGCCUCAUCACCCCUGCAGCACCCCCCACGCGUGCUGCACCUCAGCUCUGUGCUGGAUGCUGAAGACAGAGAGAGAAUAGGAUGCGGUCCCUUUUCUCCAGUUGGGGAACCCAUGUAAACACAUGGGUGGCAUCCCAGUGUGAUGCAUGCCACAUAGCAUGGAGGAAGUUAUAGUCAACCUACCUGGGGAUCAAGAAGGCUUCCCAGAGGGAAACGGGGUGCAGCCAGAAAGGUGGCCACCCCUCACUCGUCACACAAUGCACGUUCAUGGGGAAGCUGG